CCGUUGCCGGCGACCGGCGCACGGGUGAGUAACACGUAUGCAACCUGCCCGUGGCAGGGGGAUAAGCGGGGGAAACCCCGUCUAAUACCGCGUAACGCGGCCUAGGGACAUCCCAAGGCCGCCAAAGGGAGCAAUCCCGGCCACGGAUGGGCAUGCGGCGCAUUAGCUAGUCGGCGGGGUAACGGCCCACCGAGGCGACGAUGCGUAGGGGUUCUGAGAGGAACGGCCCCCACACUGGUACUGAGACACGGACCAGACUCCUACGGGAGGCAGCAG
rnacentral:rRNA from 1 species